rnacentral:rRNA from 1 species
UACGAAGGGGGCUAGCGUUGCUCGGAAUCACUGGGCGUAAAGCGCACGUAGGCGGCUUUUAAGUCAGGGGUGAAAUCCUGGAGCUCAACUCCAGAACUGCCUUUGAUACUGAGAAGCUUGAGUCCGGGAGAGGUGAGUGGAACUGCGAGUGUAGAGGUGAAAUUCGUAGAUAUUCGCAAGAACACCAGUGGCGAAGGCGGCUCACUGGCCCGGUACUGACGCUGAGGCACGAAAGCGUGGGGAGCAAACAGGG